GUCCAGAUCCCCACAGACAUCUACAAAGGCGGUGAGGAACCAGACUGAUGCUGUUAAAUCUCUGUAUGAGUCAAAGAGAGUUCAUGACGUGUCUGUCUGUCUGUAGCGCCGGUGAUUCUGAACGAGCUGAACUGGACGCAAGCGUUAGAGAACAGCAGAGAUGACCCGUCAUUGCUCUGGCAAGCGUUUGGAAGUGCCACCGGUGUCACAAGAUAUUAUCCAGGUAACCAUCUGAUCGACGUGUACUGAGGCAGAUCAUCGGUUUUGAGUAAAAUGUGAAACCAACCUGAGACCACAUAUGUCCCAAAUAAGUAACAGAUUUUGUCUUGUAGCUGCUCCCUGGAGAGCUCUGGAUAAGAUGUACAACGACGACCCUGGUAAUACAUUUCCUGUAUCUGUGUUUGGUUCCUUUCUCUUUCAGUGAACCUGGAGACAUCCAGUCAGAUGCCAAACUGUCCAGUUAAGCUACAGUACAUUCAAGGAGCAUCCUCGCCCAAAGAUAUGGUCGUCCUCUUAGACGUGAGCGGCAGUGUCAGUGGACUUACUCUCAAACUGAUCAAAGCUUCGGUCACAGAGAUGCUCGACACACUCUCCGACGUUGAUUACAUCAAUGUGGCCAGGGUCCGUCAGCUACUUUUGAUUGUUGGAUUU